UGGGCCGCCUGCAGCGAAGUGCGCGAACUUAACCACUCGGCCACGGGGCCAGCCCCGACACAGUAAUAUUUUUAACUGCAAUUUUAUGACUAGGCUUUCAACGUACCUUAAUAUUUUUUAUAUUAAAGUUUGAGUAAACAUGACUGAUUUUAUAUAUGUGUGUGUGUGUGUGUGUGUAUGUGUGUAUGUGUAAAGAAAUUUCUGUGCAAGUGAACAUUCUAAGUGGGUCUAAUUUUAAAUAUUGAUCAUACUAAUGCAUUUUGCAUAAAGUUUAAACUUAAUGUGUGUUUUCCUUCAGCUCAUGCCCCCAGAUGACUUUCUAGCUAGGACACCUUUGGAGCAAGGCAGACAAAAAAAAUGAGAGCUCCUCUCCAUUACAUAGCACAGUGCUGCCGGAUUAUUUCCUAUUUUGAGUAGCUGUAGGAUCUAACUGACACAGCAGGAUGCCUCAGAAUAUCUUUAUGUAGGAGAACUCUCUCUUAUUCUUUCUCUCUCUUUUCUCUUCUCUUCUAACUAAAUUCCAAAAAAAGGAGUUGGAGAAUUUUUAUUGUUCUUCUAAAAAUUAAAACUUAGAAAAAACUUUUUUUGCAUUCAGCCAUAAAGUACAUCAAGAUUCUAAUCUUCCUUCCGCCCAUAAAAGAGGACACAAAGGAAAGAUUAGCAAAGGAAAGACUAAGGAAAUAAACCUGUUUUGUAAAGUAUAGUAUUAAAUGCGAACAGUUAAAAUUAAUAUAUUCCAAACAACCCUGACAAUUAAUAGUGGUUACAUUAUUAAACUCCAGUCCCUCUUCGAUACAUUUUGUAAAUACUGGGCAUAUGUGAUGCUUAUUAUACACGUAGGCAUCUUAACAGAAAUCCAGCCUUGAGAAUUAUGGUAAUAAAACUGAUAAAUGUAAAAAAUAUCAAUUGCUUUGCUAUCUCAGUGUAAACGUACUCACAAAAUGAAAAGUCUAGAGUAAUUGUUUAGGAUUUCUCCUCUGUCCCCACCCCAGAACUGAUUAAAAUCUAACUGUAAGAAAAUGUGUGUUUUGAAAGCUAUGUUGUAUGCUGUUUAUUGCAAUUAUCAUUUGUUUCAAGUUUAGUUUAACCAAAUGACAAAGUCAGAAUAAUCUUUCUGGCCAAUAGUUUUGUUUCAAUAAACAUUAAGAAAUGUUCUGUUGCUCAGAAAUCUUUGACAGCUCCUCAGAGCCGCUAAGAAAGUCCUAAUUUUUUGUAUGGUAGUCAAGUCUUACAAAAAACUAUUUUGUUAGCCUUUUCUCCCACCCUUCACCCUGCUUCCUACGCUCGCUAAGCUCUUUGCUUUUCCUCUAGUGUGUUUUAGAAUUUCAGUGUCUUUGGAAGGCCCCUCUCAUCACUUUCCUGCCUAGCAAACUCCUAUUUUUCUUGAAGCUUAGUUCUAAUUUCCCUUCCAGUGAAGGAUUCUUGCAUCCUUUUUUCUUCUGUCGCCUGGCCAAAUUCCUUACUUCCUCUCUGCAUUCCUUCAUUCCUUUACUCAUAUCACAUGUAUGGUGUAAGUUACACUAUUAUUUUAGGAUGCUUGCUUUUCUGCUAGUUUCUUAGUCUUUUGGAGAGCAGGUAUAAUAUUUUGCUUACAUUUUCAUCACCAUAGCCAGGCACAGUGAAAGAGGUAAAUAAAUGAAUUGAGUCAUAUAUCUAUCUAGAGUUGUCAACAGCCAUUUUAAUAAAGGAAGGAGAAAAUAAUAAAAAUGGCUUCCCUUUCAUAUGAGUAUAUUAAUCUUAAUGUUUCAGUGAAUGGACUGUUUGAAUAGUUGAAAUUUCUAGUUGCCUGUAUAUUCCCAAGGUAAUUUAUAUUGCUCCCGUGUUUUACCAUAGCUUUGAUCCCAACUUGUGGGCUAUCUAAAGAUUCCUUACAAAAUUAAUUUAACUAGCUAAAAUAUACCAUACUGUUUUCUUUAAAUGGGUUGCUUUACAGGCUCUUAUUUUCAUAAGAUUUUCCAGCAGAAGUAAUUUAGUGUUGGUGUCUAUUCCAAAAGCCUUCAGUAGAGCUGAUGGCAUUGAAGUGGAGCCAGAGAAGAAGAUGAAGAGACAGGCUAACUACCCCUUCACUAAGGAGCCAGAAGCACAAGCUGAAAAGUGACUUUCCUUUGACUAAAGAAAAUCACAUUCCACUAGAGGCAGCACAUUUUCAGACUGGUGAUUGGCCAACUUUAUAUCCAGAAGGAAACAAAUUUAAUAGACGAGGAGUAGCCAUUCAGAGAAUUAAACUUUUUGUCUAUGUUUGGACUGAAGAGACGAGGCCCAUCUCUUCCUUCUUGAAGUAGGGCAAUUCAAGCUCUUUUGGUCUGUAAGAGAAAAUCAAGCUCCCAGGGAAUUUUAAAAGGGCUUUUUCUUGCGAAAUAUGACAGUUUGCAGAAGCGUUUUCUUCUUCCAUUUACCCUUUCAAUGAGGAAACUUAUCUUCCUGACAAAAAUUGCAUUAAGAAGCAGCUGUAGUCAUUUCCCCUUAGGCGGCAUUCUGAGGAAUAUUUGAGAGAAUAACUCCCUGAAGAUAAAUGGGCUCCUCAGUAGCCUCAGGCAUGAGGAAUAAAAAGGAUCCUUUGUUUUUUUAUAUUCUGGGCACUUCUGUGAAUUGGCUGGUUAGCACAAAUUAAAAAUCAACAAAACUUUUUAAUUGGGAAUAGUUGCUGAUCAGCUGUAUUCGUGUCCUAGUUGAAGUUUAAUAGUGGGAGGGGGUUGGUCUUCUGGUUGGUGAAGGUUCUUUUCUCUAUUUCCAAGUUGGGGGCAGUUUGAAGUAUCUUUUUGUGGUCCGGAAUGAGGCUGAGAAGUUGAGUGAAGUUACACUCUGUAAAUCCAUACCUCUUUUCAGGAGAUAGCUCUGUUCAGUCUCAGGCUGCAGGUGUUGGAGCAAUAGGAGCUGUUAUUUAAAUAUACUGAGGCAGUCACGUCACACAUCAUGGAAAUCCUCUCUCAGAAGUUGUACUUUGGUGCUCAGAUCUCUCCUCAUAAUGUUCUGGGACUCUCCUCUUCACUGUACCCCAUUUUCUUUCCCCCACAGUCCCCACAGACAUUUUCAUCUCUCUCUUAUUGCCCACUCUUGCCUUCGGGAUCUCCUGGUUGUAGAUUUACGUUUCUCCAAGUAUUUGGUUGUACCCCUUACCCCUGAUUAGCCCACAAAGACAAGGUAGCAAAAAUCCUCCUCAGGAGGGGAGGAGUGGGAAUGGUUAAGAAAACUUAUAUUUAACAAUUUAGCCUGCCCUGUAAUUCCACUGCCUUGUCUACAAUGGUGCUAAUUGAAUAUGCCCUUCCACUUAGGAUUUAGGGUGAAAUAGGUAGUAUUUUAUCAGCUAAGAAUUUACUGAGUAUAUACUCCUUUCCACAAGUAAUUUCUUGAUCAUAAGUAUGAAAUCACUCUGUAAUUCUCAUUCUCCCUCUCUCUCUCUUUUGACUCUUUCUUAUCAUUCUUUACAACAGUUUUUACUUGUUUACAGCUUUGGACAGCUGCAAGUGUUGAUUAAUAUCCAUAAGACUUAGUAAGACAAAUCUAUAGUACUUCAUGUGCCAAGAAUAAAACUUUUUCAAAUCUAGGAUUCAUUUUAUCUCUACAAAUUAUGUGUUAAAAUAAUCACUUUUAGGUAAAAUGCCCUUUGGAAUCACAACUUACAGAACAGACCUUUGUGAAAAAUUUCAUUUGUUGAUAGAAGGACCAAUGGCUUAAAAUUAUUUUUCCCAUAUUAAAUGUUUUGAGUUGACAAUUCAUGUUUCAAAGAGAAAAUAUAAUGAUUUGAUCGUUUGUUUUUUAGCAUAUUCAUUUUCCUACUAUGGUUAAUGAAAUGGAGUCUUUAUAGUGAGGAGGGUCCUCUGACAGAAGCUUUGUGACUGGCAAUAGUAUGUUGUUCAAGGUGUGGGAAGAACAGGUCUUCUCAAACUGUGAGUAACUAAGUGGUUUGUGCAUCAUUCCAGUAGCAAAGCUGAAACUCCCAGUGAUCUUGGCUACUUGACCUACUCAUUCCCCACUCUGAAAUCAAGAGACGACUGCUCCACAAGACUCCUCCAUAAAUUGCUGCAAUGUCUGUAUCUAAUUUAUCAUGGUUGAAGAAAAAGUCCCAGUCGGUGGAUAUUACUGCUCCAGGGUUCAACCCUUUGGCUGGUGCAGGAAAGCAAAUCCCACAAGCCAGUAAGACCCCUGCACCCAAGACGCCCAUCACUGAAGAAGAGCAGAACAAUGCAGCUAAUACCCAGAAGCAUCCUUCCCGGAGGAGUGACCUGAAGAGGUUCUACACCAUUGGUGAGCACCAGACGUUUUAUGCAAAUGAUAGAUGAAAUCCAUCUAAACCGCACUGCGAAUGUGUGGGUCUGUGGUUAAAUGCCCUCUUGUUUAUAUAACUUGCAUAUUUUUCUGAUGGUUUAUAUGGACAUUUCUUACAUGGCCUGAAUACGGAGAUGGAAAAACGCUGCAAACAUUUAGCAAAGUGAAAUAAGAGAGCACGCUUGAGGAUUUUCUAUAGCCUAGCCUAAGAGGAGUAAAUUAUAGAUAUAUGUGGUUUUUCAUUUUUAAGCUUAUGUGCUACUAUUUUCAUUUUCACCAUUCUCCAGCCAGCACCGUUUUUUGUUUCUGUUCUUUGCAUUUUCCCUCUGGGCUCUCAAGUCUCUGACCCUGUUCUGUCAGGUUGUUAAGACAGUGGUUGGUGUCAGCUUGUAACUCACAAAGCCACGAAGUAAAUGGGAAGAUUUUACCUUCUGAGGGAGACCAAAUUACAGUUGUGUUUUGGCCUUGCAUGUGACGUUCUUCACUGUGGAGAGUCUGGAGAGAUGGAGAGAUCUGACAUCCAGAACCCAUGGAUGAGAGAGUAGAGGCUAUGGAAAGGGUCUUGCAGCCAUUAUCUCCCUUUUUCUCAGGUAGAAUAAUAUCCAGUAACUUUGAAUUUUAACAAUUAAUUGGAGUGUUGUAGGUAAUCAAUCUAAGUGAGUUGAAUUGCCAACUUUUAUGUGCCAAUGUUUAUCCAUCAUGUCUUUGACCUUGCUUUUUAACUAACACUAACAAUUUUCAGCAUCUUAGGUCUAUUUCAGACAAAAGUUGCUCACCAUAUCCUAUAUGGUAGAGGAUGUUGUGUCGGAGAGAUAAAUCUAUCCAGGAAGAGGAUGGGUGCUUUGGUCUUGCAUAUUAUUUCAUUUUGGAGAGAUUUGGUCUUCUCCUAAAGCCUUAAUAGUAGAGACUGUGGUUUAAUGGGUUUACCAAAGUUACAUUAAGGGGGUCGUGUUUCCUUUGGUAUCCACCAUCCACUCCACCCCAAUAUGGGAUGUUUACAAUUUUUUUCUCAGAUAUUUUAGCGUCCUUAUCGUCUCUUGUUUUCGUUUUUUUGGUGAGGAAGAUUAGCCCUGAGCUAACGUCCGUGCUAAUCUUCCUUUACUUUUUGUAUGUGGG